rnacentral:tRNA from 1 species
CGCGGAGUAGAGCAGAUGGGAGCUCGCUGGGCUCAUAACCCAGAGGUCGUCAUAAACGGUUCGAACCCUACCUCCGCUA